GGGGCUUGUGGGAACGGCCCACCGCAGGGUUGGCCACCUUGAGAAGCUGCGAAGAUGGCGGAGUAAGGCGUGCCGCUGCAAACUGGCCUCUGGGCCGGGGGCGAGCAGCCCCCGGGAGGCCGAGUGCAUCUGUUGGACCGUGCGAGGAGAAGAAAAAAAAUAUCGGCCAGAGGAGAGGAACUAACCGAACAUUCUUCCUCCCUACCUUAUAGAGGGGAGUGGUCAUCUACACUAAAGCAAAGUGUUAGGCGCGUCCGUGCGAAGAGACCACCAAACAGGCUUUGUGUUCCUUAUCACAGGAAGAAAAUUUUCCUUGACCUUUAGGUGCUUUUAUAUUCAUCUCAAAAACAAAAUUCUGAACUCAGGACUUGGCAAGUAAGUAAUUGUGGGCUAAUCGUUCCAAAUACUGUUUAAGUAGCUUGAAAACAGGUACAUAGAAGUGGAACAAUAAGCCGUUAGCUUCAGCAGAAGACGAACAUGAAAAAUGACUGUAAGCUAUUGAAAUUUAAGUUAAAUCUUUUAUUUUUCAACAAAAGAAAUGUAUUAAAUAAAAAGGAGUAAUCUUGAUCAUUUGCUCAAACUACCAAUAAUUUUCACUGUCUAAAGAAAACAGACACAUAUUUAAUUAGAUUGAAGGAAAUCAAAUGAUUAAAAAAUAGGCCUGGCCCGGUGGCUCACGCCUGUAAUCCCAGCAGUUUGGGAGGCCGAGGUGGGCAGAUACUUGAGGUCAGGAGUUUGAGACCAGCCUGGGCAACAUGGGGGAACCCUAUCUCUACAAAAAAUACAAAAAUUAAGCAGGUGUGGUGGCACGCGCCUGUAAUCCCAGCUACUUGGGAGACUGAGGCAGGAGAAUUGCUUGAACUUGGGAGGCGGAGGCUGCAGCGAGCCGAGAUUGCGCCACUGCGCUCCAUCCUGGGCCACAGAGACAGACUCCAUCUCACCCAAAAAUAACGAUUAAAAAAAAAUGUUACUGGGUGGUUUUAUUUAAAUAAAUUUUGUGUAUAUUUCAGGUAUACAACAUGAUGUUUUGGGAUGCAUAUAGAUAGUAAAAAGGUUUCUACAGUGAAGUAAAUUAACAUCCAUUGUCUCACAUAGCUAUUUUGUUUUUGUGGCAACAGCUAAAAUCUCAUUUAGCAUGGAUCCUGUUUACAGUAUAAUUUUAUUACCUAUAGUUGUCAUGUUGUACAUUAGAUCGUUAGACUUGUUCAGCCUACGUACCUGUUCCUUUAUAUUCUCUGACCUAUAUCUCUUCCUUUACUAACUCCCACAUCACUGUUUUGUUCUCUAACUCUGUAUAUUUGAUUUUUUAAAAAAAUUUCACAUGUAAAUGAGAUUGUGCAAUGUUUUUCUUUCAGUCCUCCUGACUCAUCUAUGCUGUGACAAAUGGCAAAAUAUUUUGUUUUUUUUUUUUUUUGAGACAGUCUUGCUGUCUUAGCACUUGCUCUGUCACUGCACUCAGGCUGGAGUGCAGUGGUGCUAUCUCAGCUCACUGCAACCUCUGCCUCCCUAAUUCAAGCGAUUCUUUUGCCUCUGCCUCCCAAGUAGCCAGGAUUACAGGUGUGCGCCACCACGCCUGGUUAAUUUUUAUAUUUUUUUAGUAGAGACAGGAUUUCACCAUUUUGGCCAGGCUGGUCUCAAACUCUUGACUUAAUCCCAAAGUGCUGGGAUUACAGGCAUAUGCCACUGCGCCUGGCCAAGAUCUCAUUCUUUUUUAGGGCUGAGUAACAUAUGCCAUCAUAUAUAUGCACUGUAGUUUCUACAGUUUAUCCAUUCAUCCAUUGAUGAUGGACAGUUAGGUUUUUUCUGUAUCUUGGCUAUUGUGAAUAAUGUUCCACUGAACAUAGGAGUGCAGACAUCUUUAUGAAGUGAUUUCAUGUUUUUUGGUUAUAUGCCCAGAAGAGGGAGUGCUGGGUUAUGUGGUGGUUCCAUUUUUAAUUUCUUUAGAAACCUCCCAGCUGGGCGCGGUGGCUCAUGCCUGUAAUCCUGGCUACUCAGGAGGCUGUGGCAGGAGUAUCGCUUGAACCUGGGAGGCGGAGGUUGCCAUGAGCCAAGAUCGCGCCACUGCACUCCAGCCUGGGCUACAGAGUGAGAUUCCGUCUCAAAAAAAAAUUUCCAUACUGUUUUUCCAUAGUGGCUGUUCUGAUCUACACUCCCGCGAACAGUUAAUAAUAAUUCAUUCUUCUCUUAAACGAGGCAAAUUUUGGAAUAUAUUUAUUUAAUUUUUUUUUUGAGACAGAGUUUUGCUCUUGUCGCCCAGGCUGAAGUGCAAUGGCGCAAUCUCAGCUCACUGCAACCUCCGCCUCCCGGGUUCAAGCGAUUCUCCUGCCUCAGCCUCCUGAGUAGCUGACAUUAUAGGCACCUGCCACCACGCCCAGCUAAUUUUUGUAUUUUUAGUAGAGAUGGGGUUUCACCAUAUUGGGCAGGCUCGUCUUGAACUCCUGACCUCGUGAUCCGCCCACCUUAGCCUCCCAAAAUGCUGAGAUUGGAGGUGUGAGCCACCGCGCCUGGCCAGUGUGUCCUUUCUUAAUUGACAGUGACAUUAUAUCUGCAAAAUAGGCUUCAUACCUACUGUGUUAGUUUUAGUUUCCUAGGCCUGCUGUAACAAAGCACCACAAAUUGGGUAGCUUAGAAUAACAGAAAUUGUUUGAUAGUUAUAAAUAAAGGUCAGAUGUCUAAAACCAAAGUGUUGGCAGGGCCGUCCCUCUGAAGGCACUGAAAAAAAAAUUUCCAGUCCUUCUAAUUUCUUGUGGUUCCUUAACUUGUGGCAGCAUAACUCCAGUCUUCACAUGAAGUUCUUCCUGUGUGUGUAUCUGAGUCCUAAUAUAAGGAGACUAGUCAUAUUGGAUUGGGGUCCAUCCUGCUCUGUUAAUGACCUCAUCUUAGCUGCUGACAUCUGUAAUGACUCUAUUACCAAAUAAGGUCACAGUAUGAGGUAGUAGGGGCUAGGACUUUUAACAUACGAAUAUUGGGAGGACACAGUUCAACCCAUUAACACCUACUUAUACCUUGAUUAAUUAUAUGAAAACCAUUCAGUGUACAACUGCUUCAAGGAUUGAAACCUUGUAUGUAGUCCCAGCUACUCUGGAAACUGAGGUAGUAGGAUUGCUUGAGGCCUGAAGUUCAAGGCUGCAGUAUGCUGAUUGUGCCUGUGAAUAGCCACUGCACCCCAGCUUGGGCAGCAUCAGAAUUAUAGAGACAGAAAGUAGAAUGAUGGUUGCCAGGGGUUGCAGGAAGGGCAGCGAGAGGGAAUUACUGUGUAAUGUGUACAAGGUUUCAGUUUGGGAAGAAGAAAUGAGUCCUGGAGAUGGAUUACGGUGAUGGUUGCACAGCAGUAUGAAUGUACUUAAUACUACUGAAUUGUAUACUCGAAAGGGUUAAUAUGGUGAAUUUUAUGUGUAUUUUAUCACAAUAAAAACAUUGAAAAAUAAAA
ensembl:lncRNA OIP5-AS1 OIP5 antisense RNA 1